UACAGAGGGGGCAAGCGUUGUUCGGAAUUACUGGGCGUAAAGGGCGCGUAGGCGGCCCGCUAAGUCGAACGUGAAAUCCCCAGGCUUAACCUGGGAACUGCGUCCGAUACUGGCAGGCUUGAAUCCGGGAGAGGGAUGUGGAAUUCCAGGUGUAGCGGUGAAAUGCGUAGAUAUCUGGAGGAACACCGGUGGCGAAGGCGGCAUCCUGGACCGGCAUUGACGCUG
rnacentral:rRNA from 1 species